rnacentral:rRNA from 1 species
UACGAAGGGGGCUAGCGUUGCUCGGAAUUACUGGGCGUAAAGCGUGCGCAGGCGGUUGUGUAAGUCUGUCGUGAAAUCCCCGGGCUCAACCUGGGAAUUGCGAUGGAGACUGCACGGCUAGAGUUUGGCAGAGGGGGGUGGAAUUCCACGUGUAGCAGUGAAAUGCGUAGAUAUCGUAAAGAACGUCAGUGGCGAAAGCGAGCUUCUAGAUAAUUACUGACGCUGGGGCACGAAAGCUAGGGGAGCAAACAGG